rnacentral:ncRNA from 1 species
GCAGAAUCCAUAAUGGGCGGGACAAAGAGGGACGAUCCCGCGAGGGUGGCUAACUCCAAAAACCCGUCUUCAGUUCGGAUUAUAGGCUGCAACUGCAUGAAGUCGGAAUCGCUAGUAAUCGUCGGUCAGCCACACGGCGGU